rnacentral:rRNA from 1 species
GACGAACGCUGGCGGCGUGCCUAACACAUGCAAGUCGAACGGAGCACCCUUGAUUGAGGUUUCGGCCAAAUGAUAGGAAUGCUUAGUGGCGGACUGGUGAGUAACGCGUGAGGAACCUGCCUUUCAGAGGGGGACAACAGUUGGAAACGACUGCUAAUACCGCAUGACGCAGUUUGAUCGCAUGGUCGAAAGGCUAAAGAUUUAUCGCUGAAAGAUGUCCUCGCGUCUGAUUAGCUAGUUGGUGAGGUAACGGCCCACCAAGGCGACGAUCGGUAGGCGGACUGAGAGGUUGACCGGCCACAUUGGGACUGAGAUACGGCCCAGACUCCUACGGGAGGCAGCAGUGGGGAAUAUUGGGCAAUGGGCGCAAGCCUGACCCAGCAACGCCGCGUGAAGGAAGAAGGCUUUCGGGUUGUAAACUUCUUUUAAGUGGGAAGAGUAGAAGACGGUACCACUUGAAUAAGCCACGGCUAACUACGUGCCAGCCGCCGCCGUAA